rnacentral:rRNA from 1 species
CUACGGGCUGCAGCAGUGAGGAAUAUUGUACAAUGGAGGAAACUCUGAUGCAGCAACGCCGCGUGGAGGAUGACGCAUUUCGGUGUGUAAACUCCUUUUAUAUGUCAAGAAAAUGACGGUAGCAUAUGAAUAAGCUCCGGCUAACUCCGUGCCAGCAGCCGCGGUAAUACGGAGGGAGCAAGCGUUACUCGGAAUCACUGGGCGUAAAGGACGCGUAGGCGGGAUAGAAAGUCAGGUGUGAAAUCCUAUGGCUCAACCAUAGAACUGCACUUGAAACUUCUAACCUAGAGUAUGGGAGGGGAAGAUGGAAUUAGUGGUGUAGGGGUAAAAUCCGUAGAUAUCACUAGGAAUACCAAAAGCGAAGGCGAUCUUCUGGAACAAUACUGACGCUAAGGCGUGAAAGCGUGGGGAGCAAACAGGAUUAGAUACCCUUGUAGUC